rnacentral:rRNA from 1 species
UACGUAGGGUGCGAGCGUUAAUCGGAAUUACUGGGCGUAAAGCGUGCGUAGGCGGUUCGCUGUGUCCGAUGUGAAAGCCCCGGGCUUAACCUGGGAAUGGCAUUGGAAACUGGCGGGCUUGAGUGCGGCAGAGGGGGGUGGAAUGCCACGUGUAGCAGUGAAAUGCGUAGAGAUGUGGCGGAACACCGAUGGCGAAGGCAGCCCCCUGGGCUGAGAUUGACGCUCAGGCACGAAAGCGUGGGGAGCAAACAGG